CCUACGGGAGGCAGCAGUGGGGAAUAUUGCACAAUGGGGGGAACCCUGAUGCAGCGACGCCGCGUGAGUGAAGAAGGAUUUCGGUAUGUAAAGCUCUAUCAGCAGGGAAGAAAAUGACGGUACCUGACGAAGAAGCCCCGGCUAACUACGUGCCAGCAGCCGCGGUAAUACGAAGGGGGCAAGCGUUCUCCGGAGUUACUGGGUGUAAAGGGAGCGUAGACGGCAGAGCAAGUCUGAAGUGAAAGCCCGCGGCCCCACUGCGGGACUGCUUUUGAAACUGCCCGGCUAGAGUGCUGGAGAGGUCAGCGGACUUCCUUGUGUAGCGGUGAACUGCGUAGAUAUUAGGCGGAACUCCAGUGGCGAAGGCGGCUUACUGGACAGUAACUGACGUUGAGGCUCGAAAGCGUGGGGAGCAAACAGGAUUAGAUACCCCGGUAGUC
rnacentral:rRNA from 1 species